rnacentral:rRNA from 1 species
UGAAUACGAGACGCUAAGGCGUCGAAGUAGUGUAUGUCAUACUUCCAAGAAAAGCUUGCACUGUCAUAGAUAAAAAACGCCUGUACCAUAACCGACACAGGUGGGUAGGUAGAGUAUACUAAGGGGCGCGAGAUAACUCUCUCUAAGGAACUCGGCAAAAUAACUCCGUAACUUCGGGAGAAGGAGUGCCUUAUUCUUAAGGUUGCAAUAACAAGAUCCAAGCAACUGUUUAUCAAAAACACAGGUCUCCGCUAAGUCGUAAGACGAUGUAUGGGGGCUGACGCCUGCCCAGUGCCAGAGGGUUAAAGAAGCUGGUUAGCAUUUGCGAAGCUAGUAACUGAAGCCCUGGUGAACGGCGGCCGUAACUAUAACGGUCCUAAGGUAGCGAAAUUCCUUGUCGGGUAAGUUCCGACCCGCACGAAAGGCGUAAUGAUUUGGAUACUGUCUCGGAGAGGGGCUCGGUGAAAUAGACUUGUCUGUGAAGAUGCGGACUACCUGCACCAGGACAGAAAGACCCUAUGAAGCUUUACUGUAACUUGAAAUUGAAAUUGGACUUUAUUCGCGCAGUAUAGGUGGGAGGCGUUGAUUAUAAUCUUGCGGGAUUAUUGGAGCCAUUAGUGAGAUACCACUCUUGUAAUGUUAGAUUUCUAACUUUGAAUCAUUAUCUGGUCAAAGAACAGUUUCAGGCGGGCAGUUUGACUGGGGCGGUCGCCUCCCAAACGGUAACGGAGGCGUACAAAGGUUUCCUCUGAACGGUUAGAAAUCGUAUCUAGAGUGUAAAGGCAUAAGGAAGCUUGACUGUGAGACCUACAAGUCGAGCAGGGACGAAAGUCGGUCUUGAUCUGACGGUACUGAGUGGAAAGGCCGUCACUCAACGGAUAAAAGUUACUCUAGGAUAACAGCUGAUCUCCCCCAAGAGUUCACAUCGACGGGGAGGUUUGGCACCUCGAUGUCGGCUCAUCGCAUCCUGGGGCGGUAGUACGUCCCAAGGGUUGGGCUGUUCGCCCAUGAAAGCGGUACGCGAGCUGGGUUCAGAACGUCGUGAGACAGUUCGGUCCAUAUCCGGUGUAGGCGUUAGAAUAUUGAGAGGAGCCUUCUUUAGUACGAGAGGACCGAGAAGGACAUACCUCUGGUGUACCAGUUAUCGUGCCAACGGUAGACGCUGGGUAGCUAUGUAUGGAGUGGAUAACCGCUGAAAGCAUCUAAGUGGGAAGCCCACCUCAAGAUAAGUAUUCUCAU